UGCCGCGAUGUGUGAAGAAGGCCUUCGGGUUGUAAAGCACUUUCAGCGAGGAGGAAAGGUUAGUACUUAAUACGUGCUAGUUGUGACGUUACUCGCAGAAGAAGCACCGGCUAAUUUAGUGCCAGCAGCCGCGGUAAUACUAAAGGUGCAAGCGUUAAUCGGAAUUACUGGGCGUAAAGCGCGCGUAGGUGGUUUGUUAAGUUGGAUGUGAAAGCCCAGGGCUCAACCUUGGAACUGCAUUCAAAACUGACUCACUAGAGUACGAGAGGGGUUAGUGGAAUUUCCUGUGUAGCGGUGAAANGCGUAGAGAUGGGAAGGAACACCAGUGGCGAAGGCGACUGACUGGCUCGAUACUGACACUGAGGUGCGAAAGCGUGGGGAGCAAACGGGAUUAGAUACCCCGGUAGUCCACGCCGUAAACGAUGUCUACUAGCCGUUGGAGGACUUGAUCCUUUAGUGGCGCAGCUAACGCGAUAAGUAGACCGCCUGGGGAGUACG
rnacentral:rRNA from 1 species